ACAGGCCUGGAAAGUGACGUUUUCUGUAGAUGUCAACUUCUGUCUGGUGUGAUGCUCUGUUCUUCUGGUGAUGUCACAUGCAGCACUGAGUAAUAUUGGUAAAUGGAAGAGGUCUCUUAGAAUAAGGUGUCUGCCUACCAGUCAGUUUUGCAGCGGGAUCAUUUGUAUCGCUUCACUAACUGCUGGGUGUCUAUGGGAGGCACAUGAGGCUUCCACUGCAGCGCCUGUGAACUCUCACAACUCUAGAAAAGGACAACAAGGGAGAUGUUGGAGAGUGGUACAGGCAGUGAAAUGUGGGUCAAUACUUGAUGGUGGUUCUAAGAAAGGACAAGAAAGAUGAUGUUAAUAUAAAUGAAUGAUAGAGAAGACUUGCUUGUCUAUUUUCAGCAAUAUUCAGUUUUCAGAUCUGAGCUCUGUUGGCUUCAGUUAUUGGAAGUGCAUACCAGAUAACCACAGAAAGCAGAAGAAUUCAGUGUUUUAUAAGAAAUUGGUUAUUUUUCAUUUAUCUGCAUUCGGUUUUGUUUAACUAUAUUUGAAUACUUUGAAUACACCAGUACCAAACUUUGAAUCUCGUUCAUCUGGAUUAAACAUAUAUAAACUAUACAUAAGCAAUUGGGAUCACUUUAUUGUUGUUAUUAUUAUUAUUUUACUCUUUUUCCUCUGAUAAUGAUGACAAAAUAUCUGGUCUUGGCAAGGAUGAGAAAACUACUUUGUACCUUAUUAUUGUGUGGCUAUCUAAUCUAUUCUCUGCAUUUAACCAAGUAUAAUAUUCCAUUGUAAGCUAAGAAAAGAACAGUCUCAGCUGUUUCAUUGAUGUUUUUGUGUUCCUUACAUUUGAACAGAUUUUCAUUAGAGUUCCAUAGGAAUCACUAGAGUUAAAUUAUGCAUGUAUCCUCAUGUAACUGUGCAGAAAAUAAUUGUCAUAGAUGGGAAAUAAACUGCUUUUAUAGCCUUUGUUUUGUUUAUGGAGCUGUUUACAGCAAUGGGCAAUGCCAGCCAGGAUGCUCUCUGAGCUCAGAAAAUAUGGAGAAGUCAGCUCUCUAAUGGAAAUCUAUAAUGACCAUUUUGAUCAUCACAUUUUGCGAACUGUGAUGAGUCAAUAUCUGAUGUAAAUUGUACCUAAAAUAUUUUAACUUGUUUUGUCACUGUACUGUGGCAUGAUAUACAGUUCAACUGGGUCAGUUGCAUCCUGCAAUCUGGUCUCGGUGUUGGUUAUUGCAGGAGUCAAUCAAUUGCAGUCACCCCAUUAAGCAGGAAAAGACCCUUGGAUGUUCUGUGUUAGCAUUAAGGAUGUACACAUGGGGCAACUGCCUGAGUGGCAAAUGCAGUGGAAUAUCAUAUUAUUCCUGCUUAAUUUCACAUAUGAAGAUAACAAAUGUUGUCUGGAAAGGCUUUGGAAAUAUGUUGUCUUUGAACUCUUUAUUGAGUACAAGAUGGUCAUCUGAAGCUGAGUGACUUUAAGGAUACAGUGUUUAAAAGAUAUGACUAUAACAAGGCAGAACGAAAAUAGAAAAUACUUUAAUCAAGCACUUUGAAAACUGGAAACAGUAAUAAAAAACAGUAAUAAU
rnacentral:lncRNA from 7 species